rnacentral:rRNA from 1 species
UACGUAGGUGGCAAGCGUUAUCCGGAUUUACUGGGUGUAAAGGGCGUGUAGGCGGGAGAGCAAGUCAGACGUGAAAUUCCAGGGCUCAACCCUGGAACUGCGUUUGAAACUGUUCUUCUUGAGUGAUGGAGAGGCAGGCGGAAUUCCGUGUGUAGCGGUGAAAUGCGUAGAUAUACGGAGGAACACCAGUGGCGAAGGCGGCUUGCUGGACGAUGACUGACGUUGAGGCUCGAAAGCGUGGGGAGCAAACAGG